UACGGAGGGAGCAAGCGUUACUCGGAAUUACUGGGCGUAAAGGGCGCGUAGGCGAUUCGAUAAGUCUUGUGUGAAAGCCCCGUGCUUAACGCGGGAAGUGCAUAAGAUACUGUAGAAAUUGAGUUCCGGAGAGGAAGAUGGAAUUCCCGGUGUAGCGGUGAAAUGCGUAGAUAUCAAGUGGAACACCAGUGGCGAAGGCGAGUCCCUGGAAAACUCCUGACACUGAGGCACGAAAGCUAGGGGAGCAAACAGG
rnacentral:rRNA from 1 species